rnacentral:rRNA from 1 species
GCACAGAGGAGCUUGCUCCUUGGGUGGCGAGUGGCGGACGGGUGAGGAAUACAUCGGAAUCUACUCUGUCGUGGGGGAUAACGUAGGGAAACUUACGCUAAUACCGCAUACGACCUACGGGUGAAAGCAGGGGAUCUUCGGACCUUGCGCGAUUGAAUGAGCCGAUGUCGGAUUAGCUAGUUGGCGGGGUAAAGGCCCACCAAGGCGACGAUCCGUAGCUGGUCUGAGAGGAUGAUCAGCCACACUGGAACUGAGACACGGUCCAGACUCCUACGGGAGGCAGCAGUGGGGAAUAUUGGACAAUGGGCGCAAGCCUGAUCCAGCCAUACCGCGUGGGUGAAGAAGGCCUUCGGGUUGUAAAGCCCUUUUGUUGGGAAAGAAAUCCAUCUGGUUAAUACCCGGGUGGGAUGACGGUACCCAAAGAAUAAGCACCGGCUAACUUCGUGCCAGCAGCCGCGGUAAUACGAAGGGUGCAAGCGUUACUCGGAAUUACUGGGCGUAAAGCGUGCGUAGGUGGUCGUUUAAGUCCGUUGUGAAAGCCCUGGGCUCAACCUGGGAACUGCAGUGGAUACUGGGCGACUAGAAUGUGGUAGAGGGUAGCGGAAUUCCUGGUGUAGCAGUGAAAUGCGUAGAGAUCAGGAGGAACAUCCAUGGCGAAGGCAGCUACCUGGACCAACAUUGACACUGAGGCACGAAA